CUACGUGCCAGCAGCCGCGGUCAUACGUAGGAUCCGAGCGUUAUCCGGAGUGACUGGGCGUAAAGAGUUGCGUAGGCGGUUGUAUAAGUGAAUAGUGAAAUCUGGUGGCUCAACCAUACAGGCUAUUAUUCAAACUGUACAACUCGAGAGUGGUAGAGGUCACUGGAAUUUCUUGUGUAGGAGUGAAAUCCGUAGAUAUAAGAAGGAACACCGAUGGCGUAGGCAGGUGACUGGACCAUUUCUGACGCUAAGGCACGAAAGCGUGGGGAGCGAACCGGAUUAGAUACCCGGGUAGUCCACGCCGUAAACGAUGGAUACUGGCUGUUGGAGGUAUCGACCCCUUCAGUAGCGAAGCUAACGCGUUAAGUAUCCCGCCUGUGGAGUACGGCCGCAAGGCUAAAACAUAAAGGAAUUGACGGGGACCCGCACAAGCGGUGGAUCGUGUUCUUUAAUUCGAUGCUAAACGAAGAACCUUACCAGGGCUUGACAUCCAG
rnacentral:rRNA from 1 species